rnacentral:rRNA from 1 species
GACGAACGCUGGCGGCGUGCUUAACACAUGCAAGUCGAACGGAAAGGCCCUGCUUUUGUGGGGUGCUCGAGUGGCGAACGGGUGAGUAACACGCGAGUAACCUGCCCUUGACUUUGGGAUAACUUCAGGAAACUGGGGCUAAUACCGGAUAGGAGCUCCCGCUGCACGGUGGGGGUUGGAAAGUUUCGGCGGUUGGGGCUGGUCUCGCGGCUUAUCAGCUUGUUGGUGGGGUAGUGGCUUACCAAGGCUUUGACGGGUAGCCGGCCUGAGAGGGUGGCCGGCCACAUUGGGACUGAGAUACGGCCCAGACUCCUACGGGAGGCAGCAGGGGGGAGUAUUGCACAAUGGGCGGAAGCCUGAUGCAGCAACGCCGCGUGCGGGAUGACGGCCUUCGGGUUGUAAACCGCUUUCGCCUGUGACGAAGCGUGAGUGACGGUAAUGGGUAAAGAAGCACCGGCUAACUACGUG